UGGCCACAUCACGUUGAAACACCGGUUCCUGUACAAUCACCGAAGUUAAGCAACGUCAAGGCUGGUUAGUACCUAGAUGGGUGACAGCUUCGGAAUACCAGCUGC